AAUUGACAACUCAGCUGCUAAUACUUGAGAAUAUUCUUUGGCUCCCCUUGUGUCGAAUCAAUAAAUUUGGGUUGAAUACUCUUGUGACGCCCCGUUACGUCCAACAGAGUCAGGCGUAACGGAAGCCGUCACUUUAGAGUUGCGCCAGGAUCAGUUAAGGAGAACAAUGUCAUGUACAAGACGGAGCAGCUGCCAUGAGUAGGCAAGCUUUUAUUACAUGGACACCUCAAGUGUCGACUAAGCCUAUGCGGCCAUGACGAUAGAUCGUCACCCGCUUCUAGUACGAGCCUUUUAGACCAACCAUGGAGGGCAUCUACUCUUCAUAGCCUUGAUUGUCGACUUCCUCAUAGUCAUACUCCACUUUAGAAUAACCGAAGUCGUUAAGAUGACCAGACUCAUCAUAAGUACCAUUCUCUAUCGCCUCGGAGUUCUCAUAACUCUCUUGCUCUGAAAAACAACAUAAGUGCAGCUGAGUACGUAUAAAAUACGUACUCCGCAAGUCGUCGGGAAAAGUGGAUGCAUGAGUUUUUAAAGAGGAAAAACUUUAUCGGUCACAGCUACCACCACCGAGCCAUUAUCUCAAAAUCCUAUAUAGGUAAAAAUAUUUUCCCUUAACCAAUUUUGUUGAAAACCAAAUUUUAUUCAUAAAAUCUACUGGGACAGAGCGACGUGGGAUCUUACAUCCUGUGUUAGAGGAAAACCCACACGACGCACUUCCAAUCUCGGAAGCUGGGAGUGAUAUUACAUUUACUCUGAUCAGAGGUGUACUGCUUUGCCCAUAGCAUCACUUGGUACAAGUCGUCCAUGCGCUACCCGUGCGCACGACUAGACCAAGGAACCAGAACCUUUAACCAGCCCGUACACUACCUCUGCUUUUCCACCUUGCCUUACUAAAGGCCCGCGGGUCGAGACCCCUGACCGGCGGUCCCACCCUAGGGUGACUGUACCUACCCGGCUACAGCCACCUUCUCACCCAUGCAGAGGCAGCUACUUGGCAUGGGUAGUCGGUUCAGCCUGUCCCAUUCCAAGUCUAUGGUAAGUACGAUUUGCGCCGCUUUUGAAGUAAGCGCCAGUUGGUUGUGUCCUAAUGUGAUACCCUAUGUAGAGGAGCCCGCCAUCCAAGCCAACCCUACCCGGGUUGCCUUCACCAACAUAAGCUCCUCUACCAACCAAAUAUUUAUUUAUAAUGUAGCCUUGCCCGGGUCACAACUACUCAAUACAGAUACUUCACCUGAUCUGGUCCAAUUGCCAAAUGAGUGGAUCCACCUGAUGCAAAUCUCAUUUCAUUUAUGAAAAAUAUUUAUUUUUAAUUCUUAUGCAAAAUUUUAGAAAUGACCCAUAGCCCGGAAAAUUUUUAUCAAGACAUGAUCAAGGAGAUGACGACUUGCCGGGUAGUGCUUCGACCAACUCGGAACCACCAGAUGCGACUCCUACGAGUCCGAGAUCGACUCUUGAUAAUUAUUUCACAAACCUGUUUAUAAUGCUUAAUUAAAAUCUAAACAUCCAGCAACACGGCCAUGUUGGGCAAGCCAUAAUUAAUUAACUAGGUACUGAUACAUCCUAGUGUUUCAUUGAGAUAUAAAAUGCAUCUAAGCCAUCCAAAUCAGAGUAGCAUGCACGUAUGUCAUCCAGUCCAGAGAGUGAUAAAAGAAAUGAUAAGUAAAAGGAAACAGUAGCCUAGUACUGUACUACUUGUACUUUGCUGGUUAAGCCCCAGCCCGUGUCUAUCCAGAAAGACUACUCAACUUCUCUGCUGUCCCACGAACAGAACCAGCCCGCUCACCUCUCUCUCUCCCCCAAGAACAGAGCACGACCGCCGUCGCCUCGAUCUGCCCCGUCCGGGCAUCUCCGGCGACACGGCGGACACCUACAGAUUCCCCUCAUCUCCCUCUACCAUUUCCCCCUAUUUAUUUGAUCCGCCGCCGCCAAAAACGUCGCCACCACUCAAUCCUAGCGCCGCCUGAUCCAGGUCCGGUGGGCUUGCCACCGGCUGCAGCGGCAACGACGUCUCCAUGCCUACAUCCUCCCCCCAGCGCAGCCACACGCACAAGGCAUGCAGCCACAGGCGUCGGGCCUGUGCGGCUUCACCGGCGCUGCUCGGUUGCCAUGACUUUGCUGCUAACGGUGUGGAGUAGCCACAUCCUACUGCUACUACUGGUAAAUAGAUCAAGGUGAAUAGAUGCUUAUGGACUGAUUCAAACCGAGGUGGAGAUAGAUAAGAAAUCAAGCAAGAAGGGCUAACACAACAAGGUACUUGAUUAAUACCUAGUGGCGCAUGCAACCCAAAGAGCUUCAGAGCAGGGGAAGAUAGCAGUGUGGCAGAAGGUGAAAAGGCAGAGGGGUUUCACUAGCGGAUGAUUGUGUGUGGCCACAGUGAAAGGGAUGGCUCCUAUUUAUUGUGGGGUGAAUAGCUAUGUCGGUUUGGAGAGGCAUUACAUCUGGCACGCAUGCGUGGUUAGUCUUGCAUGCAUGCCUCCACUUGUGCCUCUUGUGGGCUGUACUAGGGACAAGUGUAAUUUGCUUGGCUGGCCAUUAGUUGGCAUUUACUUUGUAUGAAGGAAAUGAGACAAGGGUCUAUAAAAUAUAGGAAGAUUUGGAGAAGAAUUGUUGUGCAUGACUAAAUGCUAUUUGCUGUAAUAAAAAUAAUAAUUAAGUGUAGUUAUUUCUAUUAUUUUAA